AAAUUGAAGAGUUUGAUCAUGGCUCAGAUUGAACGCUGGCGGCAGGCCUAACACAUGCAAGUCGAGCGGUAGCACAGAGAGCUUGCUCUCGGGUGACGAGCGGCGGACGGGUGAGUAAUGUCUGGGAAACUGCCUGAUGGAGGGGGAUAACUACUGGAAACGGUAGCUAAUACCGCAUAACGUCGCAAGACCAAAGUGGGGGACCUUCGGGCCUCAUGCCAUCAGAUGUGCCCAGAUGGGAUUAGCUAGUAGGUGGGGUAACGGCUCACCUAGGCGACGAUCCCUAGCUGGUCUGAGAGGAUGACCAGCCACACUGGAACUGAGACACGGUCCAGACUCCUACGGGAGGCAGCAGUGGGGAAUAUUGCACAAUGGGCGCAAGCCUGAUGCAGCCAUGCCGCGUGUGUGAAGAAGGCCUUCGGGUUGUAAAGCACUUUCAGCGGGGAGGAAGGCGUUAAGGUUAAUAACCUUGGCGAUUGACGUUACCCGCAGAAGAAGCACCGGCUAACUCCGUGCCAGCAGCCGCGGUAAUACGGAGGGUGCAAGCGUUAAUCGGAAUUACUGGGCGUAAAGCGCACGCAGGCGGUCUGUCAAGUCGGAUGUGAAAUCCCCGGGCUCAACCUGGGAACUGCAUUCGAAACUGGCAGGCUAGAGUCUUGUAGAGGGGGGUAGAAUUCCAGGUGUAGCGGUGAAAUGCGUAGAGAUCUGGAGGAAUACCGGUGGCGAAGGCGGCCCCCUGGACAAAGACUGACGCUCAGGUGCGAAAGCGUGGGGAGCAAACAGGAUUAGAUACCCUGGUAGUCCACGCCGUAAACGAUGUCGAUUUGGAGGUUGUGCCCUUGAGGCGUGGCUUCCGGAGCUAACGCGUUAAAUCGACCGCCUGGGGAGUACGGCCGCAAGGUUAAAACUCAAAUGAAUUGACGGGGGCCCGCACAAGCGGUGGAGCAUGUGGUUUAAUUCGAUGCAACGCGAAGAACCUUACCUGGUCUUGACAUCCACAGAACUUAGCAGAGAUGCUUUGGUGCCUUCGGGAACUGUGAGACAGGUGCUGCAUGGCUGUCGUCAGCUCGUGUUGUGAAAUGUUGGGUUAAGUCCCGCAACGAGCGCAACCCUUAUCCUUUGUUGCCAGCGGUUCGGCCGGGAACUCAAAAGAGACUGCCAGUGAUAAACUGGAGGAAGGUGGGGAUGACGUCAAGUCAUCAUGGCCCUUACGACCAGGGCUACACACGUGCUACAAUGGCAUAUACAAAGAGAAGCGACCUCGCGAGAGCAAGCGGACCUCAUAAAGUAUGUCGUAGUCCGGAUUGGAGUCUGCAACUCGACUCCAUGAAGUCGGAAUCGCUAGUAAUCGUAGAUCAGAAUGCUACGGUGAAUACGUUCCCGGGCCUUGUACACACCGCCCGUCACACCAUGGGAGUGGGUUGCAAAAGAAGUAGGUAGCUUAACCUUCGGGAGGGCGCUUACCACUUUGUGAUUCAUGACUGGGGUGAAGUCGUAACAAGGUAACCGUAGGGGAACCUGCGGUUGGAUCACCUCCUUACCUUAAAGAA
rnacentral:rRNA from 1 species